rnacentral:rRNA from 1 species
GACGAACGCUGGCGGCGUGCUUAACACAUGCAAGUCGAACGAAGAGCGAUGGAAUCUUGCUUCUAUCAAUCUUAGUGGCGAACGGGUGAGUAACGCGUAAUCAACCUGCCCUUCAGAGGGGGACAACAGUUGGAAACGACUGCUAAUACCGCAUACGAUCUAAUCUCGGCAUCGAGGAUAGAUGAAAGGUGGCCUCUACAUGUAAGCUAUCACUGAAGGAGGGGAUUGCGUCUGAUUAGCUAGUUGGAGGGGUAACGGCCCACCAAGGCGAUGAUCAGUAGCCGGUCGGAGAGGAUGAAGGGCCAGAUUGGGACGGAGACACGGCCCAGACUCCUACGGGAGGGAGCAGGGGGGAAGCGUCCGCAAGGGACGAAAGUCUGACGGAGCAACGCCGCGUGAGUGAUGACGGCCGUCGGGUUGGGGAGCUCUGUUAAUCGGGACGAAAGGCCUUCUUGCGAAUAGUGAGAAGGAUUGACGGUACCGGAAUAGAAAGCCACGGCUAACUACGUG